rnacentral:rRNA from 1 species
AUUGAACACUGGCGGCAUGCCUAACACAUGCAAGUCGAACGGCAGCACGGGAGCUUGCUCCUGGUGGCGAGUGGCGGACGGGUGAGUAAUGCAUAGGAAUCUGCCCAGUAGCGGGGGACAACUUGGGGAAACUCAAGCUAAUACCGCAUGCGCCCUACGGGGGGAAAGCGGGGGACCUUCGGGCCUCGCACUAUUGGAUGAGCCUAUGUCAGAUUAGCUUGUUGGUGGGGUAACGGCCUACCAAGGCGACGAUCUGUAGCUGGUCUGAGAGGACGAUCAGCCACACUGGGACUGAGACACGGCCCAGACUCCUACGGGAGGCAGCAGUGGGGAAUAUUGCACAAUGGGCGAAAGCCUGAUGCAGCAAUGCCGCGUGUGUGAAGAAGGCCUGCGGGUUGUAAACUGCUUUUGUCAGGGAAGAAAUGUUCCGGGUUAAUAACCUGGGAAGAUGACGGUACCUGAAGAAUAAGCACCGGCUAACUACGUGCCAG